CCAAUCAAAUAUUAUUAAUCAUAGACAAAAUCCAGUGAAAGUAAAGGCUUAAUGGCUGAGAGAGCCUCUUCAAUCCAUACAUGGAAAUGAUCUCUACAGUAACCCAAAUGAGCCAAGGCAUAAGCGACCCUAGUUUCCAUUGCUUUUGACAAAAGACCAUGAGAUGGGAGGAAAAAAGAACGCAAUCCCACAAAGCCAUUCUCGAGGCAUUACUGAAGGUAUCGCUAGAUCUGGAUAAUUAAUACACCCUUUACAAUCUGAUGAUUCGGCUCAGACUCAACUCUGCUGCAAGUUGUAAUCUAAAAGUCAUAGUUAUGGCCUUCGAGACAGCUGGAUUCCAAAAAUCAUCAACACAUUUAGAUGCACAUUGCCAACACUUGACCUUGACUAUCUUGAAAAAUUACUUCAAAAGCAAUCAAACCAUCCCCAACAAUUCCAGUAUCCACAUUCAUUUUGGCGAAGCCCAUUGGAGGGAGCAUCCAUGUGUCCAUUGUCACUGAAUCUCCCUUAGCAUCAUCCUCAAAAGUGGUCGAAAGGAGCUGCGUAUAUUCAAAUUAUUUUAUUUAAUAAUUAAUUGCUUAAAAUAUUAAAUACUAGAGCCAAAAAUUUUGGAAUUCCAUGAUAGCAAAAUAAGUUACUAAUAACACUCCGUAUAUUUGCGAAAAAUAUUUUACAUUUGAAAUUUUUUUAAAAAAAAAAUUUUCUAAACUUAUCUUUCUAUUUGCCUCCUCUAAUUCAUUACUCCUGUGAGUCUCUUCCUGCCCUUUAUCCCCUAGCCUGCAUUUUCUCUUUUAUCUUAGCCUAACAUCCUAUUUUUAUAUUCUCUACUUUUAUGUCCAAUCCCUCUACAUUCUCCACAUCAAACAUACCUCUAUUCAUAAAGCACCGUUUGGCUCAAAUGACAUCAUCUUUCAUCUUCUAAAAUAAUUUCAUCAAGGAAUUUUCCAUGUAAAUCCAUCUCAAUUAAUAUCCUUUCAUAAUUGAUUGAUAAACAAAGGCAUCUCAAUCACAUUGCCCACUCCACUCAACAGUUCUUUCCACCAAAAUUCCCAAGGAAGGCUUGGAAAUUGGACCUAAAUGGCAAUUUCUGAAUUGAUUCGAAAUCCAUUUUAGCCUAGGUUUCAUUGCAACAACACCAAAGGUCUUCUAUCAAAAGUAUUGGGUCCUUCAGCACUAAAUCCCUUCCUCCUUCUGAAUCAAAAGUAAAUAGAAAAAUAUUUGCAUUAACUAGAUAAACAGAAAUAAGCCCAUACCUCUUCCACUUACCCAUCACAAAAUUCAAAAUCCCUUGAAAUAUAGGAUUCAUUCCACAUAUACUACCUGUAAGAGCAUUCCCCUAACAAUGAACUUCUGAUUGCAGCUCCUCUGUACUGAAUUUCACCACUUUUUCCCCAUCAGUCACCACCGGAUGCACAUAGGCGAGUUCACAUUCUAGAAUCCUUUAUCUGUCCUUAGCCACCGAAUUUGGUCACCUCUUAUGCCUCUAUGUGUUAGUGUUCAUAUCUUCCUCAAUUGACUCAUUCAAUCUCCUCUAGUUACUGGGAACCAUCCCCACGUCAGAUCCUUCCCCAUCUGCGCAUUAUGUUCAUUUGCAUCGUCUUCCUGGUUUAACUUCUCUCAUAAGUAAUAUUAUUAUUAGUCUAAAUCAGAAAUAUGUAUGCACAUCCUAUAUAGAUUUUAAAAUCGAAAGUUGAUGUUCUCGAUUAUCGUCUAAAAUACUAAUGUAUUAUGUUAAGAUUUAUGUCUUAAAUUACUUAUAGUUUAAAAUUUUAAAAAUUUUAUAAUUGAUAUCAUGAAACAUCAACUCAUAUACUAUAUAUCAACGUAUGAUUUAAAAAUAAUUAACAAUUCAUAAAAUAAAAUAACAUAUUAUCUAAAAUUAUAAAACGAUAAAAGAUAAUAUUACUCAUUAUAAAAUCAUACACAGUAGUAUCAACAAACUAUAUGGAUAACAAUGAUUUUCAAAAAAAAAUACUAUUUACGUUUAAUAUAAACUUGAGAUACAGUUAUAAAAAAUUUAAGAUAUACUAACUUCCACCGGAAAUGAAAAUCAAUAUGUAGAAACACCUACCACCCAAGGUUUCCUAAUGACUUUAUUUCCCCAAAACUUUACUACAGUGUCCACCGUCCCUCUGCCAAUAACCUAACCCCAUUAAACACUAUUCCAUAAAUCUCGUUGAAUAAUCAGGACCUCAAACUAUGUCACUUUAGCUACAACAAAUUAUGAUGUGAAUGAACCAGAUCAUGCAGUAGCGAGGCCUCGUACUAGGGGCAUCUAAGAAUCUAUCACAGGUUUUGACUCCUAGCUAAGCACCAACUCUUACCUUUGUAUCCGAAGUUGAGAACAAUGAACUAGUAGUAGGAACACAAGGAGCUAUAAGGAAGAGAGAUGAUGAUGUAACCAGGGAACCACUAAGUCCUGAAGUCACGUGGUGAGAAGUUUUAUAGAGGAAGAUGUUGAUAUAAAUAGGAGCACC
rnacentral:lncRNA from 1 species